rnacentral:tRNA from 1 species
GAUGUAGCUCAGGUGGUAGAGUGCUUGCCCGCCAUGCAUGAAGUCCUGAGUUUGAAUCCCAGCAUC